rnacentral:rRNA from 1 species
GAUGAACGCUGGCGGCGUGCCUAAUACAUGCAAGUCGAACGCAUUGUGGUUGAAAUGAUAUGAAGAACUUGUUCAGAUUUGAUUUUCAACAUUGCAAUGAGUGGCGAACGGGUGAGUAACACGUGGGAAACCUACCUCUUAGCAGGGGAUAACAUUUGGAAACAAAUGCUAAUACCGUAUAAUAAUCAAAAACCGCAUGGUUUAGUUAAAAGAUGGUCUUGCUAUCACUAAGAGAUGGUCCCGCGGUGUAUUAGUUAGUUGGUGAGGUAAUGGCUCACCAAGACAAUGAUACAUAGCCGAGUUGAGACUGACCGGCCACAAUGGGACUGAGACACGGCCCAUACUCCUACGGGAGGCAGCAGUAGGGAAUCUUCCACAAUGGACGAAAGUCUGAUGGAGCAACGCCGCGUGUGUGAUGAAGGUUUCGGCUCGUAAAACACUGUUGUAAGAGAAGAAUGACAUUGAGAGUAACUGUUCAAUGUGUGACGGUAU